ACGGGUGAGUAACGCGUGGGAAUCUACCCAUCUCUACGGAAUAACGCAUGGAAACGUGUGCUAAUACCGUAUACGUCCUUCGGGAGAAAGAUUUAUCGGAGAUGGAUGAGCCCGCGUUGGAUUAGCUAGUUGGUGGGGUAAAGGCCUACCAAGGCGACGAUCCAUAGUUGGUCUGAGAGGAUGAUCAGCCACACUGGGACUGAGACACGGCCCAGACUCCUACGGGAGGCAGCAGUGGGGAAUAUUGGACAAUGGGCGCAAGCCUGAUCCAGCCAUGCCGCGUGAGUGAUGAAGGCCCUAGGGUUGUAAAGCUCUUUCACCGGUGAAGAUAAUGACGGUAACCGGAGAAGAAGCCCCGGCUAACUUCGUGCCAGCAGCCGCGGUAAUACGAAGGGGGCUAGCGUUGUUCGGAUUUACUGGGCGUAAAGCGCACGUAGGCGGACUAUUAAGUCAGGGGUGAAAUCCCGGGGCUCAACCCCGGAACUGCCUUUGAUACUGGUAGUCUUGAGUUCGAGAGAGGUGAGUGGAAUUCCGAGUGUAGAGGUGAAAUUCGUAGA
rnacentral:rRNA from 1 species